UUUAAGGUCCCUUCCAACCCAAACAAUUCUACGAUUCUAUGAUUCAAAGUGUGAAGAGCAAUUUGGUUCACCCUACCGUAAUCAUCUUCGUGUGGUCAGAUGGGUUGCUGCCCACCUCUGGGUUGAUAACGCUCCUGUGGCUGUUGUGAAGGGCAUAGACAUCCAGAAUGCCCAUAGACCAGUUGGGAGACAUUUGAAGUUGGGUGAAUUGGAUCCUAUCCUGUCAUUUUCAGUCUUCUAAACUGAGGACUGUUUUAACUUGCAGCCAAGAGUUGUCGUCAGUCGCUGGGGUGCUUGAGAAAGAGCAGUCCUGAUCACUGUGGCAAGGUGAAAAGCAAGGAGAAGGCUUUCACACAGAGUGUCUCUUUGGGUGAAAUGAAGAAGAAGAGAUGGUGACUGAGCUGUACAAGCAAACCGGGACAACCCAAAAAGUGACUCAAAGCAGGAGCCAGCAGAUGGUCGCGUCGUUAGCCGGUGGCCACAGCCUCGCCAGAGGAGUUUUGGAAUUCCCAUCAAAGUCGGGAUUAAGCUCAGGAUAUGCCAGUGGCACAGAGGGAGCCCUGGGGGAGCGUGGAAGAAGAGGAAAUCAUUCCCUGCGACUCAUCUUGCGGUUGGGUGCUGAUCUCCUGAGAGCGCCGCGCGUGUGCCAAAGGAAGAACACGUUGUUUGAGGGAAAACCUAUUUAUAAACACGUGCAAACUGAAAGGUAAAUCAUUUCUGUAAAUUGAUUGAUGAAAUAUGCUCUCUGCAUUGGUUAUGUGUCCCGAUGUAGUGUAAAUACACCUGACAUCUAUUACGUUUGUCGCUGUGCAGCACCACUAGGUAGGCAGUGGGUAUCUUUUAAAAAUUCCAUUUCUAAUUCUCUGCUUCUUCACCAUAACAAAGAAAGGUUCAAAGGUGGCGUGUUUUUCUCUGAAAAUAUUUUUGGCUUGGGUUUGGAGGUUUUUUUGCAGCGAUAUACGUGAUGGGGAGGAGUAAAGAAUAUUUGCCUUCAGCUAAAAGAGCCUCUGCAGUCUGUUUGUCAGGCGUGGGAAUUCAGUGGGGAUUAAAAACAAUCACACGUGGAGCUGAUUGAAUUUCCUAUCCCUCUUAAUUGCUACCUUUUUUUUUUUUUUUCCUAUGUGAUGAUUUUAAUUUCACUUCCUCCG
rnacentral:lncRNA from 1 species